UGGAGAACACUGAAUUCUAGAGUACUUUUUCAAAAGGUCCUAUGCGCCAAAAGUAAACAAACUGAGUUAUACAAUGCAUGACGUUCUGCAUAUCCGAAACUACACUAUCCUCAAACCCGAUUUCUUUUAAGCAUUUAAUUUUUAAAAUUAUUAGCGAAAUGCAAAAUAACCUAUGAGCAUUCUCUUAAAUUUUCAUACAAAAUAAUUUACGUCGUUUUACCUCUCAGUGUCCUAUGUGCAUUCAGUAAAAUGAUGCACAUACGACAAUAACAAAUCGACCUAUGUACAAUUUUAAAUAUAUUUCAAUCAUUAUGCACAUACGCUAAUAUAAUAACGACGUAUGUACGCAUUUUAUUGAAUAAUUAGAAAGUAAUGAUAGAUUUUUUUAUAUCCAUAUAUCUUUUUAAAAAUAAUGUUUGCCUAGGUUCCGGUUAACGUGUAGACGUCAGCUGUAAGAGAGUAUGAAAUGUUUCAAUGCCUGACACAGCAAAAGAGAAGAGCAAAAUUUAACCAAUGAGCUCUCUCUCCCGAAUCUGGCGGAUACGACUCCCAGCAUGACAUACCAAAACAACUCAUAAAACAGCAUAAAAUAUGUUUUUUGUUUUGGUUGAUAGGAUCCCGGACAGAUCAUUGUUGUGGACUGUCUGAGUUUUUAAAGAAAAGUGUCGGAGGGCGAAGGAUUGCGGCAACAAAAAAAUACGCACUGCUUUACGGUACCUGGUCCCCGACAACGACCAACCAAGCGGCGGCGGACGUGGUACGGAGGACGCUUCUAGAAACCUUAAAAAAGAGCGCGCCAUCCGCUUCGUGGUCAUGGUCUGUCAGAGAACCUCAAGACGAACGUCGAGUACAUUAAGAUUGCCGGAACCCGGGCGGAUCGGCUAUCAACAACUUCGCCAACGGCAAACUCAUAAUUACGCACGCAGAUGCAGGUCGUCUGGGCCGCUUGGGACAACGUGUCCGAGAAUCCAAAAAUGCACGAGCUGCUGAGACUAGUGUUUCUGAGGCCACCGGAGUGGGCGGAAACAUAGAGGUUGCGGCGGUUAAGGGGUUACAUACAUGUAGAAAAUCACAAAAUGUCAUAUUACAGAUUUUUUUUUGAAUCCA